rnacentral:rRNA from 1 species
AGCGGAGGAAAAGAAACUAACAAGGAUUCCCCUAGUAACGGCGAGUGAAGAGGGAAGAGCUCAAAUUUGAAAGCUGGUACCUUCGGUAUCCGCGUUGUAACCUCGAGACACGUUUUCCGUGCGGCGCUAUGGACAAGUUCCUUGGAACAGGACAUCGUAGAGGGUGAAAAUCCCGUACUUGCCAUGGAUGUACCGUGCUUUGCGAUACGUGCUCUAAGAGUCGAGUUGUUUGGGAUUGCAGCUCAAAAUGGGUGGUAGACUCCAUCUAAAGCUAAAUAUCGGGGAGAGACCGAUAGCGAACAAGUACCGUGAGGGAAAGAUGAAAAGCACUUUGGAAAGAGAGUUAAAAGUACGUGAAAUUGUCGAAAGGGAAGCGCUUGAAGUCAGCCAUGCCGCUCAGGACUCAGCCUGGCUUUUUGCUUGGUGUAUUUCCUGGGUAGCAAGUCAGCAUUAUUGGUUUGGAUCGUCGGAGAAGCAUAGUCGGAAUGUGGCGCCCUCGGGCGUGUUAUAGCCUUCUAUUGGAUACGACGAUCUAGACCAAGGAACGCAGCGCGCCUUAUGGCGGGUCUUCGGACACCUUCGCGCUUAGGAUGCUGGCGUAAUGGCUUUAAGUGGCCCGUCUUGA